rnacentral:rRNA from 1 species
UACGAAGGGGGCUAGCGUUGCUCGGAAUUACUGGGCGUAAAGCGCACGUAGGCGGCUUUCUAAGUCGGGGGUGAAAUCCUGGAGCUCAACUCCAGAACUGCCUUCGAUACUGGAGAGCUUGAGUCCGGGAGAGGUGAGUGGAACUGCGAGUGUAGAGGUGAAAUUCGUAGAUAUUCGCAAGAACACCAGUGGCGAAGGCGGCUCACUGGCCCGGUACUGACGCUGAGGUGCGAAGCGUGGGGAGCAAACAGG